AUUGAACGCUGGCGGCAGGCCUAACACAUGCAAGUCGAGCGGAUGAGGGGAGCUUGCCCCUGGAUUCAGCGGCGGACGGGUGAGUAAUGCCUAGGAAUCUGCCUGGUAGUGGGGGAUAACGUCCGGAAACGGGCGCUAAUACCGCAUACGUCCUGAGGGAGAAAGUGGGGGAUCUUCGGACCUCACGCUAUCAGAUGAGCCUAGGUCGGAUUAGCUAGUUGGUGGGGUAAAGGCCUACCAAGGCGACGAUCCGUAACUGGUCUGAGAGGAUGAUCAGUCACACUGGAACUGAGACACGGUCCAGACUCCUACGGGAGGCAGCAGUGGGGAAUAUUGGACAAUGGGCGAAAGCCUGAUCCAGCCAUGCCGCGUGUGUGAAGAAGGUCUUCGGAUUGUAAAGCACUUUAAGUUGGGAGGAAGGGCAGUAAGUUAAUACCUUGCUGUUUUGACGUUACCAACAGAAUAAGCACCGGCUAACUUCGUG
rnacentral:rRNA from 1 species